rnacentral:tRNA from 1 species
GCGCCUAUAGCUCAGUUGGUAGAGCAGAUCCCUUUUAAGGAUAAGGUCCCAGGUUCGAGCCCUGGUGGGCGCA